AAAACACCAGCAUCAUCUUUUUCUAUUUUAGUCGGUGUGCUUUUCUUUGCCCUUAACUCUUUUUACUUGACUCAAAGAGCCUGCACAAUAAUUCCUAUAUGCCUGGACUGUUUGGUGUAUGCACAAAUGAAAAUCUUGAAUCUUGAAUCUUGAAUCAGGAUUGUGUGGGUGUAGUGUCAUCCGUGUGAUCCAUU